UUUUCUACAUGGCCGGACUACGUUGAGGU
rnacentral:piRNA from 1 species